CCUUCACCUCCGCCGUCAACCGUCCGCCGUAGCAGGCGGUGAUGAUCGAAGUUGAUUAUACUGAGCGCAUUUAUUAUAGUUCUCUUUAAUAGGGAACUCCAAGCCAGAAAUCUGAUCCGAUUUUUUGUAUAAUUGUUUUAUGAUUUUUUUAUUGUUUUUCUGUGAAUGUGAAUGUCUCUGAUGAUGAUCCAAAUAAAACUUUCGUUCUUCUGAAUAUCUUUGUGGAAACGAUUAUUGGAGACCUGAACUGAAGAGGCGAACUCUACUUGUAUUAUAUUUUUGAUUAGUGAUCCAGGUUUUAGUAUGCACUGAUCCUGCUUUGUUGUUGGUUUUAAUAAGAGUUUGUUUCAAACCAGUAGAGAGGUGUUUGGUGUUGCGUUUUCAAAAUAGAUUAUGCGUUUUAAAACUGUGUUUUGGAGUGAGAUAAUCACAAUUUUUUAUCCAA